CUCCCACAGGACCGCCCGCCCGCCCGCCCUCGACCCACCCUCGACCCACGAUGGCGCGUCACCAUCACCACCACCCGGCCGUCAAUGUGGCCACCAUCACCGAGGAGGAUGUGAUCGAAGAAGAAGUUGGAGAGGAUGGCAUGGUGGAAGUGGUGGCAGUACGUGAGAGAUAUCGACCGGAUAAUGAGAGCAGACUAUCCCGCGACGGCCUCGACGGAGCCCCAGCAGGAGACGCAGACGAAGGCGCUGACGGAGGGGACGAGCGCCGGUCAAGCGUUGUGAUCCUCGACCGGCCGAACAGCCUGGUGGAGAAGGACGUGGGGGAUACCUCCCUCAAUAGCUCCCUCUUGAGCGCCCUCGUCCUCGCCUCAGUCUCCUCCGCCUCCUCGUCCUCCUCGAGUUCCAACUUGAAGCGCUCCUCCUCCACCUCCUCCGUCUGCUCUGCCACGUCGUCCUCGGAGAAGAGUUCGAGUCCCAAGUCGAAGAGAACGGCCUCGAGGACGGCUGGGAGGGUGAUGGGCCAUACGAUGAACCUUUCGGGAAAAUUCGUCACAGAGUUGACCCUAUUUGACCCGAGCGAAGGGGCGGUCAGGACCUCCCACAUCAACCUGGGCGUUUUCUUAGCCACUGACCAGGCGAUGGGGGACCAUUCUAUUUAUAAGGUGUCACCCGUGUCGCCUUUGGCUUUGCUAAAGAUUAAGACCCAAGACCGACUCGUGCGAUUGAACGAUAUGUCUGUGGAAGGCUGGUCUCACAGCUGCAUCGUCGACUUUGUCAGAAAUCUCUCUCUUGCUGACAAUGUGACGACCGCGCCCACACCCUCUGCCACGCCCACACCCACGCUCACACCCACGCCCGCAUCCACGCCCACGCAGACGACGAAAGGAGGAGGAGGAGGAGGAGGAAAAGGAGGUGGUGGUGGUGGAGGAGGAGGAGGAGUGGGUGGAGGUGGAGGUGGAGGAGGAGGAGGAGGUAGUGGAGGUGGAGGUAGUGGAAGAGGAAGAGGAAGAGGAGGAGGAGGAGGAGCUGUAGGGAAGAUUUCGACCGAUCCAGGUGUACUUGUUCCUCUCUGCUUGGAGUACCGAAGGGCAGGGAAGAUGGUGCGCUCCGCUGACGAAGCUCCAGCGAGCAAGAGGGUCGAAGCCAUGCUAAGAGUUAGGCGCAAGAGAGCGAUCGUCGAGUCAGUCAAGGAAUCCGAAGUGAGAGUCCGUUACGAGAAUCAACAAGCAGUCAGGCUGAGAGUCAAGAAUGACCUUCCCCUUUACGUCAAGGUCAUCACACGAGGAAACGAGGUCAUGACCCUUACUACAGGGGAGACUGAUGUUCACGACGAGACGGCAGGGAACCACCGUCCCAGUCACGUCAUACACGCAGGUUGACAUCAAGUUCUUCCUGUUGCACGGGGUCGAGGGAAGUCCUUUUGUCUCCUUGCGAAACCUGCAUACUGGUACCUACCUAUCAGCUAGUUUCGAGGGCGUGAGGCUCGUCCGACCAAACAACCACACAGUGCUGCCAGAGUCCUGUUUAUUUCAAGUCCAUCUUUGUGAACACUGACCUCCAUCUCGUGUGUAUGAGAAGUGU
rnacentral:misc_RNA from 1 species